AUUGAACGCUGGCGGCAGGCCUAACACAUGCAAGUCGAACGAGUGGCGGACGGGUGAGUAAUGUCUGGGAAACUGCCCGCUGGAGGGGGAUAAAUACUGGAAACGGUAGCUAAUACCGCAUACCAUCGGAUGUGCCCAGAUGGGAUUAGCUAGUAGGUGGGGUAACGGCUCACCUAGGCGACGAUCCCUAGCUGGUCUGAGAGGAUGACCAGCCACACUGUAACUUAGACACUGUCCAGACUCCUACGGUAGGCAGCGGUGGGGAAUAUUUCACAAUGGGCGCAAGCCUUAUGCAGCCAGGCCGCGUGUAUGAAGAAGGCCUUAGGGUUGUAAAGUACGUGCAGCGAGGAGGCGUUACUCGCAGAAGAAGCACCGGCUAACGCCGUGCCAGCAGCCGCGGUAAUUC
rnacentral:rRNA from 1 species